rnacentral:rRNA from 1 species
UACGGGGGGGGCAAGCGUUGUUCGGAAUUACUGGGCGUAAAGGGCUCGUAGGCGGCCAACUAAGUCAGACGUGAAAUCCCCAGGCUCAACCUGGGAACUGCGUCUGAUACUGGAUGGCUUGAAUUCGGGAGAGGGAUGCAGAAUUCCAGGUGUAGCGGUGAAAUGCGUAGAGAUGUGGAGGAACACCGAUGGCGAAGGCAGCCCCCUGGGCUAACACUGACGCUCAGGCACGAAAGCGUGGGGAGCAAACAGG